rnacentral:rRNA from 1 species
GACGAACGCUGGCGGCGUGCUUAACACAUGCAAGUCGAACGGAAAGGCCCUGCUUUUGUGGGGUGCUCGAGUGGCGAACGGGUGAGUAACACGUGAGUAACCUGCCCUUGACUUUGGGAUAACUUCAGGAAACUGGGGCUAAUACCGGAUAGGAGCUCCUGCGGCAUGGUGGGGGUUGGAAAGUUUCGGCGGUUGGGGAUGGACUCGCGGCUUAUCAGCUUGUUGGUGGGGUAGUGGCUUACCAAGGCUUUGACGGGUAGCCGGCCUGAGAGGGUGACCGGCCACAUUGGGACUGAGAUACGGCCCAGACUCCUACGGGAGGCAGCAGUGGGGAAUAUUGCACAAUGGGCGGAAGCCUGAUGCAGAAACGCCGCGUGCGGGAUGACGGCCUUCGGGUUGUAAACCGCUUUCGCCUGUGACGAAGCGUGAGUGACGGUAAUGGGUAAAGAAGCACCGGCUAACUACGUG